AGACAGGUGGUGCAUGGUUGUCGUCAGCUCGUGUCGUGAGAUGUUGGGUUAAGUCCCGCAACGAGCGCAACCCUUGAUCUUAGUUGCCAGCAUUUCGGRUGGGCACUCUAAGGUGACUGCCGGUGACAAACCGGAGGAAGGUGGGGAUGACGUCAAAUCAUCAUGCCCCUUAUGACCUGGGCUACACACGUACUACAAUGGCCGGUACAACGGGCUGUGAAGCCGCGAGGUGGAACGAAUCCUAAAAAGCCGGUCUCAGUUCGGAUUGCAGGCUGCAACUCGCCUGCAUGAAGUCGGAAUUGCUAGUAAUCGCGGAUCAGCAUGCCGCGGUGAAUACGUUCCCGGGUCUUGUACACACCGCCCGUCACACCACGAGAGUUUAUAACACCCGAAGUCGGUGGGGUAACCGCAAGGAGCCAGCCGCCGAA
rnacentral:rRNA from 1 species